CCGCAAGGCGGCCUGGGACUUGUAGUCCCUCUCCUGGCCCCGGCUCUCCUGGGCGAGGAGCAUUGGGAAGAGGCUUCCGCGGCAGCCUGCGGCCCCCGCCCAGCCGAAGAGGCCUGGAGGAGAGGAGAUUCGCUUUUGAGAACGUUCAUUGAGCGCCGAAGUGAAGGCCACGGCAUUGAGAGACUUGAUCGUUGGUUUAGGUGUACUCAGGAGACCAACAACGAUACCUUCUCUUUGUUUGACCCCUCCUGUGUCACAUGUGUGAUCACAGAAGAGACCAUGUUUUUGGAAGAGAAACAGAAUUGGCUUUCCAUUGAGGCAAAUGAGGGGGCUGCCCCAUGGUGGAGACACACAGGAGGGUGGGAGAGGGACUCUAUCUUUCAUUGGAAUAGUCUGCCCUGUGCUAGGUGGAGCUGGAAGAUAUAGCUCACUUGCUUGUAAGGAACUUGAAGGCUGUGUGGGAGACAAAUGUAUAAACAGAAAAUUACAGUUCACCAUCUUAUGUUCCAGAGGAAAGAAGCACUUAGUAUGAGGUACCAGGAAGAGGUGGGGAGAAGGGAGUGGCUUUACAUCCUUAAGCUCUGGGUGUUUGAAGAGCAGCCUUAGACACUAGCCAUGGAGGUGGGCUUGGGUAGGCCCCGCCACGGGGUUUGAAGACCCAAAAGAUGUUGGGUCAAGGAGGACAUGGGUGUCUAGUGUAGGAGCAAGCAGAAGGGUGAGCUCACUGAAGCACUGUUUUACCCACUGUACUACGUUUCUAUUGCUGCUAAAACAAAUUGCCACAAACUUAGUGGCUUAAAACAAGUGCGUUAUCUUCCAGUUCUGGAGGGCAGGAGUCUUAACUCAGGUCUCCCUGGGCUAGAAUCGAGGUGUCAGCAGGACUGGGUUCCUUUCUGGAGGCUUUGGGGGAGCAUCCAUUUCCUCGCCUUGCCCAGCUUCUAGAGGCCACCAGCAUUCCCAAGUUCAUGGCUCCCUUCUGCCUUCAAAGCCAACAACAGUGCAUCAGUCACUCUCACAUUGUAUCACUUUGACCUCAUCCUUUAUUUUUUUGAGACAGGAUCUUGCUCUGUUGCCCAGGCUGAAGUGCAGUGACAUGAUUAUGGCUCACUGCACCCUUGACCUCCAGGGCUCAAAUGAUCCUUCCAUCUCAGCCUCCCAAGUAGCUGGGACUACAGGCAUGUAGUACCAUGCUCGGCUAAUUUUUCUAUUUUUUGUAAAGAUGGGGUCUUGCUGUUGUCCAGGUUGGUCUCCAACUCCUGUGCUCAAGUGAUCCUCCUGCCUUGGCCUCCCAAAAUGCUGGGAUUACAGACAUGAGCCACCACAGCCUGCCCACUCUGACCCGUUCUGCCUCCUACUUCCACUCUCACAAAUGUUUGUGAUGACAUUGGACCCACCUGGAUAAACCAGGACACUCUCCCUAUUUUAAGGUCAGCAGAUUAGCUUCCUGAAUUCCAUCGGCAACUUUUUCCUUUUUCUUUUUUUUUUUUUGAGACAGGGUUUCACUCUGUUGCCCAGGCUGGAGAGCAGUGGAGCAAUCAUGGCUCACUGCAGCCUUAACAACAACUGGGCUCAAGUGAUCCUCCUGCUUCAGCCGCCUGAGUAGCUGGGACUACAGGCACAUGCCACAACGCCCUUCAAAUUUUAUUUUUUGUAGAGAUAGUGUUUCCCUAUGUUGCUCAGGGAAGUCUUGAACUUCUGGGCUCAAGCGAUCCUCCUGCUUUGGCCUCCAAAAGUGCUGGGAUUACAGGCGUGAGCCACCGCGCCUGGCCCACAGGCAGCCUUAAUUCCCUUUUGCCAUGUAACCCACAUAUUCACAGCUUCUGGGGAUUGUGACGUGGACAUUGGGGGAGGCACUGUUCUGCCUCCCACGCCCACUUUACCUUCAGGGUGAGGUCUCGGCCUGGCCUAUCCUUUCACAGUAUCUACGUGUAAUCAUGGGGAAAAGCCUUUAAAAAUUAGGCAAGGGAAUUAAAAUCAUCACGAUAAGUAAAAUCAGGCAAGGAACUUGCUGGAGGAGAACAGAGAUAGAAUAAGGCAGAAGUGCCUAUGUAUGUGGGGGUGGGAAUCAAGGGGUGGUGGAGGUGAUUGAGGAAUAAACAGAUAUGAAUUGCUUAUUUAAGGCUUGAACCUGGUGUCAUGAGAGAAAUGGUGGUGGUCUCAAAAGGGGCCAUGGGGUGGGACCACAGAAGAGACACGGCCCCACCUGCAUGUUGACCAUACUCAGGGUGGUGAGGAAACCAGCGCUGUCCUGCAGCUGGAGGAACCUCAGUGGUCUUUGGGGAUGAGCCCUGAACCUCAAGUCAAGAAGUGUGAGUUCUAGUCCAGGUUUCAGCCACGGUGAGUGAGUCAUGCACGUGGGCCUAUAACCCCUCAUCAGUAAACCAGGGGCUGGUCUAGAUGACCCCAAGGCUCUCACAUUCAUUUCCGCACUCUUGGUCUCUGCUGGGCUUCUGGGACAUCGGUUAGUAUGGCCUUUUGUUAGGCACAUGCCAGGACUGGGGCUGUGCAGAUGAUGUGGAAGGGUUCCUGACUCCCUGUUCCCACUGAAGCCUGCUCUACAGAAGGAACCCCUUGGACGUUGCUGUCCUGGGCUUCAGCACUCAGAACUGCUUGCUCUUUGUGGCCAUCCCAGCUCUGUCACGUGAGCCCCUGUCCCCAGCUGAAUCACUAUGGUUAGGUGUAUAAGCUUUGACAACAGGUGGGGGAUGACCUGUAGUCCCCCUGACCCAAAGGAGACUGAAACGAAGCACCUCUUGGCCAGGCCACCACGGUGCCCCACAGCCACUUCACCAGCUGUCGCUUGUCAUGGCCAUGGGCCCAGACCUAGUUCUUCCUCAGUGAUGGGGGGUUGGGGCCCCUGCCUGCCCUCAGAGCCCUACCACCAGUGUUGGGCAUUGGGGCUAGGCUGGAGCUGGGCUCUGAGCCCAGAGCUGGUGGUGGUUUCCAGGCCUGUGGGAGGGUGACAGUGAGGCUGUGCUGCAGCUGUCACCUCCGGAGAGGGCGGUGCAUGGGAGGUGGAAAGCACUGGACCUGGACUGUGGCUCAGUUGAGGGACACAUGGCAUGGACUUUUACCACACAAGUUUAUUUAAAUAAAAGUGAACACAGAUGCAGGCUGGUGCCCGAGGGGCAGGGGGUGGGGAGGGCAGGUGGGAAGCAGACAGACAAUGGGGUCCAGGCAGAGUUUGUGUGGUGAACCAGGCUGCUGGAGGGAGCGGCUGGGGGCCUCAGGGCAGUGCUGGGAUUCAGUGCUGGGGCAGGGGGCCUUGGGUGGGUGAGCCUGGUGCCAGGAGGUCAUUUCCAUCCCUCACAUGCCCCCCUCCCUCUCCCUGACCCCCUGGGACUACAGCACUACCUCCUCAGCCCCCUCUGCCUCUCCUGACAUCAGCCUUCCCCUUAGUUACUGAGAAGCCAAAAGACAAAAUAAAUUAGAAUGGGUAAGUCCUA